UCCUCGGUGGCGCAAUUGGCUAGCGCGUCGUAAGUUACCUUUUACACCCAGUAGCAAUAGCAUCUAACCCGUCCCAUAGUGACUGUUAAUCAGGAGGUUGAAAGUUCGAGCCUUUCCCGAGGAG